UCCGAAACGUCAUUCAAAAUAUUAUGUAACAAAUCUAAUAUAUCUAAUAUAUAUAUAUAUAUAAAUAAAGAUCUCUCAAUGAAAAAAAUUUUCGUCGACCAUGUGACAGUAAUACAGGAUCUCUUUAGCUAUAAAAUACACGUCCCUCCAUCCGCCACAUGUGAAAAAAAAUAAAAAAAAUAAAAAAAACUCCUCCUUCUCUUCUUUCUUCCUCUGUUUUGUUUUUUUCUUUUUUUCUCUAUUCUUCUCUGAG
rnacentral:lncRNA from 1 species